AUUACCUUUGCUCAGGGUGAGAGACAAAGUAAUGGGAUAGAGACAAUGAUGGAAAAUAAAGGAUAACUUUUGAAUUUUUGGUUACCUUGAUGAACAAUUCAAACAAAAGGCUGAGAUGGUUUUAUUUGUGUCCAUAUUUCCAGAACCAGGAGUAUCCAGCUUCACAGUGACCGCGGACCUACCGACUGAUGAGGAUGCCGAAUAUGAAUUCAUCCAGGAGAUCGAUGAGGAAGAGACCCCUAACUGAAGGAGAUGGAGGACUGAUUACAUAAUGCUACAUGUGCACCUUUACCAAAUAGAAGUUUAUUCAAGUGUGCUAUUAGUAUACUUAUUUUAAACUUAAAAUAAGAGCGUUUACUUUCAGUUUACCUUUAAUGUACUUAUCAGAGAUAUACUUCAGUGUUAAGAUUCUGUUUUGCUUUAUGUUGUUUUUUGUGUUUGCUCUCCCCCUCCUGUUCUCUCUUUUCCUCCUGGCAGGGCAUGUGUGUGGCAGAAGGCGUGGCUGGCUCCUCCCAGGGCAGCAACGAGGCACACCGGGUCUUCAUUCAGAUAAUCAACCCCUCCAUAAAAGCCCAGUCUUCACUCCACUACUUCGCCAGAUAAUUCCGUCUCGUUCGGUUUCCUGUGUGCCUUGUUGCUGCUCAGCUUCCGUGUUCUCCGGUGGCUGAGAUGUUCCAUGUGCUCAGGCCUGGUGUUCAUUCUCUCCUCGCCACGGGCCUGCCAGUUCCCUGCCAGCUCCCUGCCAGCUCCCUGCCAGCUCCCUGCCAGCUCCCUGCCACCCUGCCUGCGUUUUUACUUCCUGGUUGGAAAAUAAACUCUGUUUUCAUUUUUACGUACCUGAGUCCGUCUCUGCUUCUGGGGUCCAAACAAAACUAAAACCUAACACUUAGCUAUUAUAAAAGAGUGUGAGAGUUUGUAAACUGAUGUUUUGAUAUUAAUUUACUUUGAUUCAUCAAGAAUUUUCUACGUUUUUGGAUUCUCCGUUCACCGCGGAGGAAUGAGAGAAUUUUUUUUUUAUCAUAACAAAACAUCCAGUCAAAUAUCAAAAGGAGCAAGUCUCUUAAUGUAAUACAUAAAUCAUUAGCUAAAAGUUCUAUAAGUUAAAGUAUACAAAGUG